rnacentral:rRNA from 1 species
AGAACGAACGCUGGCGGCAGGCUUAACACAUGCAAGUCGAACGCGUGUAGCAAUACACGAGUGGCGCACGGGUGAGUAACGCGUGGAUAUCUGCCUUUUGGUUCGGAAUAACCCCGGGAAACUGGGGCUAAAUACCGGAUGGUUCCUACGGGAUAAAGAUUUAUCGCCAAAAGAUGAGUCCGCGUCCGAUUAGCUAGUUGGUGGGGUAAUGGCCUACCAAGGCGACGAUCGGUAGCUGGUCUGAGAGGACGAUCAGCCACACUGGGACUGAGACACGGCCCAGACUCCUACGGGAGGCAGCAGUGGGGAAUAUUGGACAAUGGGGGCAACCCUGAUCCAGCCAUGCCGCGUGAGUGAUGAAGGCCUUCGGGUUGUAAAGCUCUUUUGGCGGGGACGAUGAUGACGGUACCCGCAGAAUAAGCCCGGCUAACUUCGCGCCAGCAGCCGC